UACGAAGGGGGCUAGCGUUGCUCGGAAUCACUGGGCGUAAAGCGCACGUAGGCGGCUUGUUAAGUCAGGGGUGAAAUCCUGGAGCUCAACUCCAGAACUGCCUUUGAUACUGGGCGAGCUUGAGUCCGGGAGAGGUGAGUGGAACUGCGAGUGUAGAGGUGAAAUUCGUAGAUAUUCGCAAGAACACCAGUGGCGAAGGCGGCUCACUGGCCCGAUACUGACGCUGAGGCACGAAAAGCGUGGGGGAGCAAACAGG
rnacentral:rRNA from 1 species